rnacentral:rRNA from 1 species
CAGCAGCCGCGGGAAUACGAAGGGGGCUAGCGUUGCUCGGAAUCACUGGGCGUAAAGGGUGCGUAGGCGGGUCUUUAAGUCAGGGGUGAAAUCCUGGAGCUCAACUCCAGAACUGCCUUUGAUACUGAAGAUCUUGAGUUCGGGAGAGGUGAGUGGAACUGCGAGUGUAGAGGUGAAAUUCGUAGAUAUUCGCAAGAACACCAGUGGCGAAGGCGGCUCACUGGCCCGAUACUGACGCUGAGGCACGAAAGCGUGGGAGCAAACAGGAUUAGAUACCCGGGUAGUCCCUGUCUCUUAUACA